AAAGGCUGGGGUGCUUUCACAUUUCUGUGCAA
rnacentral:piRNA from 1 species